AGUGGCGGACGGGUGAGUAAUGCAUGGGAAUCUGCCUAUUAGUGGGGGACAACACGGGGAAACUCGUGCUAAUACCGCAUACGCUCUUAGGAGGAAAGCGGGGGAUCUUCGGACCUCGUGCUAAUAGAUGAGCCCAUGUCGGAUUAGCUUGUUGGUGGGGUAAUGGCUUACCAAGGCGACGAUCCGUAGCUGGUUUGAGAGGAUGAUCAGCCACAUCGGGACUGAGACACGGCCCGAACUCCUACGGGAGGCAGCAGUGGGGAAUAUUGGACAAUGGGGGCAACCCUGAUCCAGCAAUGCCGCGUGUGUGAAGAAGGCCUUCGGGUUGUAAAGCACUUUCAGACGCGAGGAAACGGUAAUAAUUAAUACUUAUUACAAUUGACGUUAACGUCAGAAGAAGCACCGGCUAACUCCGUGCCAGCAGCCGCGGUAAUACGGAGGGUGCGAGCGUUAAUCGGAAUUACUGGGCGUAAAGCGCGCGUAGGCGGAUUGAUAAGUCAGAUGUGAAAGCCCCGGGCUUAACCUGGGAACUGCAUUUGAUACUGUUAAUCUUGAGUAUGGUAGAGGUAAGCGGAAUUUCCAGUGUAGCAGUGAAAUGCGUAGAGAUUGGAAGGAAUAUCGAUGGCGAAGGCAGCUUACUGGGCCAAUACUGACGCUGAGGUACGAAAGCGUGGGGAGCGAACAGGAUUAGAUACCCUGGUAGUCCACGCCGUAAACGAUGAUUACUCGUUUUCGGUUUUUUAGGAAUCGGAGACUAAGCGAAAGUGAUAAGUAAUCCACCUGGGGAGUACGAUCGCAAGGUUGAAACUCAAAGGAAUUGACGGGGGCCCGCACAAGCGGUGGAGCAUGUGGUUUAAUUCGAUGAUACGCGAGGAACCUUACCAGGGCUUAAAUGCAGGAUGACCGUUCUGGAAACAGGACUUUCUUCGGACAGACUGCAAGGUGCUGCAUGGCUGUCGUCAGCUCGUGCCGUGAGGUGUUGGGUUAAGUCCCGCAACGAGCGCAACCCCUAUCUUUAGUUGCCAUCGAGUGAAGUCGGGGACUCUAGAGAAACUGCCUACGCAAGUAGCGAGGAAGGCGGGGACGACGUCAAGUCAUCACGGCCCUUACGUCCUGGGCCACACACGUGCUACAAUGGUCGGUACAGAGGGCAGCUACCAAGUGAUUGGAUGCGAAUCUCGAAAGCCGAUCUCAGUUCGGAUUGGAGUCUGCAACUCGACUCUAUGAAGCUGGAAUCGCUAGUAAUCGCGCAUCAGCCAUGGCGCGGUGAAUACGUUCCCGGGCCUUGUACACACCGCCCGUCAAGCCAUGGAAGCUGGGGGUACCUGAAGUCGGUAACCGUAAGGAGCUGCCUAGGGUAAAACUAGUAACUGGGGCUAAGUCGUAACAAGGUAGCC
rnacentral:rRNA from 1 species